rnacentral:rRNA from 1 species
UACGUAGGGGGCUAGCGUUGUCCGGAAUCAUUGGGCGUAAAGAGCGUGUAGGCGGUCCGGUAAGUCCGCUGUGAAAGUCGGGGGCUCAACCCUGGGAUGCGGAUGGAUACUGUCGGGCUCGAGUCCGGAAGAGGCGAGUGGAAUUCCCGGUGUAGCGGUGAAAUGCGCAGAUAUCGGGAGGAACACCAAUGGCGAAGGCAGCUCGCUGGGACGUGACUGACGCUGAGACGCGAAAGCGUGGGGAGCAAACAGGG